UACGUAGGGGUGCAAGCGUUAAUCGGAAUUACUGGGCGUAAAGCGUGCGCAGGCGGUUUUGUAAGUCUGACGUGAAAUCCCCGGGCUCAACCUGGGAAUUGCGUUGGAGACUGCAAGGCUAGAAUCUGGCAGAGGGGGGUAGAAUUCCACGUGUAGCAGUGAAAUGCGUAGAGAUGUGGAGGAACACCGAUGGCGAAGGCAGCCCCCUGGGUCGAAGA
rnacentral:rRNA from 1 species